rnacentral:rRNA from 1 species
AGCGACUUAUAUUCUGUAGCAAGGUUAACCGUAUAGGGGAGCCGGAGGGAAACCGAGUCUUAACCGGGCGUUAAGUUGCAGGGUAUAGACCCGAAACCCGGUGAUCUAGCCAUGGGCAGGUUGAAGGUUGGGUAACACUAACUGGAGGACCGAACCGACUAAUGUUGAAAAAUUAGCGGAUGACCUGUGGCUGGGGGUGAAAGGCCAAUCAAACCGGGAGAUAGCUGGUUCUCCCCGAAAGCUAUUUAGGUAGCGCCUCGUGAAUUCAUCUCCGGGGGUAGAGCACUGUUUCGGCUAGGGGGCCAUCCCGGCUUACCAACCCGAUGCAAACUGCGAAUACCGGAGAAUGUUAUCACGGGAGACACACGGCGGGUGCUAACGUCCGUCGUGAAGAGGGAAACAACCCAGACCGCCAGCUAAGGUCCCAAAGUCAUGGUUAAGUGGGAAACGAUGUGGGAAGGCCCAGACAGCCAGGAUGUUGGCUUAGAAGCAGCCAUCAUUUAAAGAAAGCGUAAUAGCUCACUGGUCGAGUCGGCCUGCGCGGAAGAUGUAACGGGGCUAAACCAU